rnacentral:rRNA from 12 species
AAUUGUGGCUAACUGUCCUGCGAGUGCCCCAGUCCAGUCAGCUCUUGAAAGUUAAGCAGGGCCGGGCUUUGUUGGUACGCGAAUGGGAAACCAUCGUGGAAGAUCAGGGGCUCUUAGAC